rnacentral:rRNA from 1 species
AGAGUUUGAUCCUGGCUCAGAUUGAACGCUGGCGGCAUGCCUUACACAUGCAAGUCGAACGGCAGCACGGGAGCAAUCCUGGUGGCGAGUGGCGAACGGGUGAGUAAUAUAUCGGAACGUGCCCAGUCGUGGGGGAUAACGUAGCGAAAGCUACGCUAAUACCGCAUACGAUCUAUGGAUGAAAGCGGGGGAUCGCAAGACCUCGCGCGAUUGGAGCGGCCGAUAUCAGAUUAGCUAGUUGGUGGGGUAGAAGCCCACCAAGGCGACGAUCUGUAGCUGGUCUGAGAGGACGACCAGCCACACUGGAACUGAGACACGGUCCAGACUCCUACGGGAGGCAGCAGUGGGGAAUUUUGGACAAUGGGCGCAAGCCUGAUCCAGCAAUGCCGCGUGCAGGACGAAGGCCUUCGGG